AGUGAACGCUGGCGGUAGGCCUAACACAUGCAAGUCGAACGGCAGCACAGUAAGAGCUUGCUCUUACGGGUGGCGAGUGGCGGACGGGUGAGGAAUACAUCGGAAUCUACUUUUUCGUGGGGGAUAACGUAGGGAAACUUACGCUAAUACCGCAUACGACCUACGGGUGAAAGCAGGGGAUCUUCGGACCUUGCGCGAUUGAAUGAGCCGAUGUCGGAUUAGCUAGUUGGCGGGGUAAAGGCCCACCAAGGCGACGAUCCGUAGCUGGUCUGAGAGGAUGAUCAGCCACACUGGAACUGAGACACGGUCCAGACUCCUACGGGAGGCAGCAGUGGGGAAUAUUGUACAAUGGGCGCAAGCCUGAUCCAGCCAUACCGCGUGGGUGGAGAAGGCCUUCGGGUUGUAAAGCCCUUUUGUUGGGAAAGAAAAGCAGCAGGUUAAUACCCCGCUGUUCUGACGGUACCCAAAGAAUAAGCACCGGCUAACUUCGUG
rnacentral:rRNA from 1 species